UGGGGAAUAUUGGACAAUGGGCGCAAGCCUGAUCCAGCAAUGCCGCGUGGGUGAAGAAGGUCUUCGGAUUGUAAAGCCCUUUCGGCGGGGACGAUGAUGACGGUACCCGCAGAAGAAGCCCCGGCUAACUUCGUGCCAGCAGCCGCGGUAAUACGAAGGGGGCUAGCGUUGCUCGGAAUCACUGGGCGUAAAGGGCGCGUAGGCGGCACAGUUAGUCAGGCGUGAAAGCCCUGGGCUCAACCUGGGGAUUGCGCUUGAGACGGCUGAGCUUGAGGACGGAAGAGGCUCGCGGAAUUCCCAGUGUAGAGGUGAAAUUCGUAGAUAUUGGGAAGAACACCGGUGGCGAAGGCGGCGAGCUGGUCCGUUACUGACGCUGAGGCGCGAUAGCGUGGGGAGCAAACAGG
rnacentral:rRNA from 1 species